AGAUGCUCUGAUCUUUGACCCCUGCCGUUCAGCUCUAGGGCCCGUGCAGGCCACACCAUGAACACCUCCCCAGGCACGGUGGGCAGUGACCCGGUCAUCCUGGCCACUGCAGGCUACGACCACACCGUGCGCUUCUGGCAGGCCCACAGCGGCAUCUGCACCCGGACUGUGCAGCACCAGGACUCCCAAGUGAAUGCCUUGGAGAUCACACCAGACCGCAGCAUGAUUGCUGCUGCAGGUUACCAGCAUAUCCGCAUGUAUGAUCUCAACUCCAAUAACCCUAACCCCAUCAUCAGUUACGACGGCGUCAACAAGAACAUCGCGUCUGUGGGCUUCCACGAAGACGGCCGCUGGAUGUACACGGGCGGCGAGGACUGCACAGCCAGGAUCUGGGACCUCAGGUCCCGGAACCUGCAGUGCCAGCGGAUCUUCCAGGUGAACGCACCCAUUAACUGCGUGUGCCUGCACCCCAACCAGGCAGAGCUCAUCGUGGGUGACCAGAGCGGGGCUAUCCACAUCUGGGACUUGAAAACAGACCACAACGAGCAGCUGAUCCCUGAGCCUGAGGUCUCCAUCACGUCUGCCCACAUCGACCCCGACGCCAGCUACAUGGCAGCUGUCAAUAGCACUGGAAACUGCUAUGUCUGGAAUCUGACGGGGGGCAUUGGUGACGAGGUGACCCAGCUCAUCCCCAAGACCAAGAUCCCUGCCCACACGCGCUACGCCCUGCAGUGUCGCUUCAGCCCCGACUCCACGUGCGUGCAGGGCCUCCUGGCCCAGGAGGGGACCUGCCUGGGCUGGGGGCUGGAGAGGGGAAGGGCUGGUGGAUGGAGUAGCUGCUGCUGGACACGACCCAUGCCCACCCCCUAGGCUCCUCGCCACCUGCUCGGCUGAUCAGACCUGCAAGAUCUGGAGGACGUCCAACUUCUCCUUGAUGACGGAGCUGAGCAUCAAGAGCGGCAACCCCGGGGAGUCCUCUCGCGGCUGGAUGUGGGGCUGCGCCUUCUCGGGGGACUCCCAGUACAUCGUCACCGCUUCCUCGGACAACCUGGCCCGGCUCUGGUGUGUAGAGACUGGAGAAAUCAAGAGAGAGUAUGGCGGCCACCAGAAGGCUGUUGUCUGCCUGGCCUUCAACGACAGUGUGCUGGGCUAGCCUGUGACCCCUCGGGACUGCCUGGUGUAGGUGGUGGCAGCUGGAGGGACCCAUGCAGCACCCAGGUCAGAGCAGGCCCCCCUGCCGGCCUGCGCCAGCUGGACCUGAUGGCCCCCUGUGGCGCCUUGACCUGCUGGGCCAGGCCGCCCUGGGACUUUCAGCCCCCAGUUGCUUAUCUAGAUGUGACAGAGCUUGACCCAAGCCAGGCUGUACACUCCUGGACUGGGCUAGCCUGCACUGCCUGGGAAAGUUGGCCGAGGGCCCAAAGCUGCUAAGGGGUCUGAGGCUGAUGCCCGCCCCCAAGCUAGCGAGUUCUCUGCCCCUCCCUGCCCACGUUUCAGGGCCUCAGUCCAUAGAGAAUACCAUGGCCAGGUGGAAGGGUUUAUUAGUCCCUGCCGGCAGCUGUCCUCCCUGGUGCAGGUGGCCUGGCCAGCCCACUGGAUUGGGGACAGGGGCCGGGCUGGGCCAGGUUGGGGGCUCAGUCUGG
rnacentral:sRNA from 1 species